rnacentral:rRNA from 1 species
UUCCAGACUCCUACGGGAGGCAGCAGUGAGGAAUAUUGGUCAAUGGGCUUACGCCUGAACCAGCCAAGUCGCGUGAGGGAAGACUGCCCUAUGGGUUGUAAACCUCUUUUGUCAGGGAGCAAUUGGCGCUACGUGUAGCGUUAUCGAGAGUACCUGAAGAAAAAGCAUCGGCUAACUCCGUGCCAGCAGCCGCGGUAAUACGGAGGAUGCGAGCGUUAUCCGGAUUUAUUGGGUUUAAAGGGUGCGUAGGCGGAAUGCCAAGUCAGGGGUAAAAUCGCGGGGCUCACCCCCGGCCUGCCGUUGAAACUGGCGGCCUCGAGUGGGCGAGAAGUAUGCGGAAUGCGUGGUGUAGCGGUGAAAUGCAUAGAUAUCACGCAGAACUCCGAUUGCGAAGGCAGCAUACCGGCGCUCAACUGACGCUCAUGCACGAAAGCGUGGGUAUCGAACAGGAUUAGAUACCCCAGUACG